GAUGAACGCUAGCGGCAGGCUUAACACAUGCAAGUCGAGGGGUAUAGUUCUUCGGAAUUAGAGACCGGCGCACGGGUGCGUAACGCGUAUGCAAUCUACCUUUCACAGAGGGAUAGCCCCAGAGAAAUUUGGAUUAAUACCUCAUAGUAUAGCAGUUUCGCAUGAAACCACUAUUAAAGUCACAACGGUGAAAGAUGAGCAUGCGUCCCAUUAGCUAGUUGGUAAGGUAACGGCUUACCAAGGCAACGAUGGGUAAGGGUCCUGAGAGGGAGAUCCCCCACACUGGUACUGAGACACGGACCAGACUCCUACGGGAGGCAGCAGUGAGGAAUAUUGGACAAUGGGCGCAAGCCUGAUCCAGCCAUGCCGCGUGCAGGAUGACGGUCCUAUGGAUUGUAAACUGCUUUUAUACAGGAAGAAACACUACUUCGUGAAGUAGCUUGACGGUACUGUAAGAAUAAGGAUCGGCUAAACUCCGUGCCAGCAGCCGG
rnacentral:rRNA from 1 species